rnacentral:rRNA from 1 species
AGUGAACGCUGGCGGUAGGCCUAACACAUGCAAGUCGAACGGCAGCACAGUAGGAGCUUGCUCUUACGGGUGGCGAGUGGCGGACGGGUGAGGAAUACAUCGGAAUCUACUUUUUCGUGGGGGAUAACGUAGGGAAACUUACGCUAAUACCGCAUACGACCUACGGGUGAAAGCAGGGGAUCUUCGGACCUUGCGCGAUUGAAUGAGCCGAUGUCGGAUUAGCUAGUUGGCGGGGUAAAGGCCCAGCAAGGCGACGAUCCGUAGCUGGUCUGAGAGGAUGAUCAGCCACACUGGAACUGAGACACGGUCCAGACUCCUACGGGAGGCAGCAGUGGGGAAUAUUGGACAAUGGGCGCAAGCCUGAUCCAGCCAUACCGCGUGAGUGAAGAAGGCCUUCGGGUUGUAAAGCCCUUUUGUUGGGAAAGAAAAGCAGCAGGUUAAUACCCCGCUGUUCUGACGGUACCCAAAGAAUAAGCACCGGCUAACUUCGUG